rnacentral:rRNA from 1 species
UGGGGAAUAUUGCACAAUGGGCGAAAGCCUGAUGCAGCGACGCCGCGUGCGGGAUGAAGGCCUUCGGGUUGUAAACCGCUUUUGAUUGGGAGCAAGCGAGAGUGAGUGUACCUUUCGAAUAAGCACCGGCUAACUACGUGCCAGCAGCCGCGGUAAUACGUAGGGUGCAAGCGUUAUCCGGAAUUAUUGGGCGUAAAGAGCUCGUAGGCGGUUUGUCGCGUCUGGUGUGAAAGUCCAUCGCUUAACGGUGGAUCUGCGCCGGGUACGGGCAGGCUAGAGUGCGACAGGGGAGACUGGAAUUCCCGGUGUAACGGUGGAAUGUGUAGAUAUCGGGAAGAACACCAAUGGCGAAGGCAGGUCUCUGGGUCGUCACUGACGCUGAGGAGCGAAAAGCGUGGGGAGCGAACAGGAUUAGAUACCCUGGUAGUCCACGCCGUAAACGGUGGAUGCUGGAUGUGGGGCCCAUUCCACGGGUUCCGUGUCGGAGCUAACGCGUUAAGCAUCCCGCCUGGGGAGUACGGCCGCAAGGCUAAAACUCUAAAGUGAAUUGAC